GCCUCUGCUCACGCUCUGAGCGCCCAGUACUUGGUGUGUAAUACGGAUCGAAUUCAUAUCUGCUGCAUCCUUCAUUCUUCUGUUAAAAUAUCUUAUUGCGACAUAUAACAGGAACAGAAAGUGCAUAAGUAUAGGUGUACAGCUUAACAAAUUACCACAAAGCAAAUACCCUCUAACUAUCACCCAGAACUAAGAAUAGACCAUGGGCCUCACCGCUGAGAUUUCCCCCGCCCACAGCCGCUAUCUCCACUUUCACAGUAACCCUUGUCUUUUAGGGGUUUUGCAUCUGAGUCAGCAUCCUUAGCCCUCUGGUUUAGUUUCUCCUCUUCCCGGAGCCCUACACUCGCUCCCUGCAGCCUUGCAGGCUCUUCUCUUCUGAGUCUGGCUCCUUGCACUCAAUCCUGCUGCGAGACUCGUGCACUCACGGUGCAGCCGUGCAGUGCAGCCUUUCACAGCUGUACCACGGUCCAGUGUUGACCGCGCCACAGUUCACCCUGUUUUACUGCUGAUGGAUGUUUCGGUUGUUUCCCCGUUGGGGGAUACUGGGAGGAGUUCUGCUCUGAAAUCCUAGCUCCCGUUUUUGGGUGAACGUGCUGCCCAUCUAGCUGUAGAGGAUGUCCUUGAGAGGGGACUGGGGGUCCUCCGUGUUCAGCCUCAGUCCAUGGUGCCAAAUGGCUUUCCUUAGCGGUUGUGCCGAUUUACACUCUAACCAGCAACGCAGAUUUCUGUUCUCUCCCUCCCACUCUCUCUCCCUCUUCCUUCCUUCCAUUUGCUUGCUCACUCAACCCGCCUUUACCAACAGUCUGGGACCCGGCCCGCUGCUUAAAGGUGAAAAGAAGUCAAGAUGCGCGGCCCAAUUCAGGAGGCGGAUAGAUGGGGAGCCACAGAACCAUCCAGAAAUGCUCCAUUUCCCUCCCGUUUCGUUUCUCCACCGCGGCGGCCGGAGCUUCCGGAGCCGUUGAGUCGGCAGCGCCAUCUGCUGGCUGCCUUUUAAAUUGCCGGAUGAGAUCCUCGGGUCCUUCGCCCCAGAAAUGACCCACGGAAAGGAAAAAGAAACGUUUUUAUAAUCUUGAGUACAAUAAAAAUGAAAGUAAGGGGCUCGCCAGGUGGCACAGCAGUUCAGUUCACAUGUUCUGCUUCGGCGACCCAAGGUCCACCAAUUCGUAUCCUGGGUGCAGACCUAUGCACCACUUAGCAAGCCAGGCUGUGGCAGCAUCCCCCGUAUAAAAUAGAGGAGGAUGGGCAUGGAUGUUAGCUCAGGGCUAGUCUUCCUCAGCAAGAAGAGGAGGAUUGACGGUGGAUAUUAGCUCAGGGCUAAUCUUCCUCAAGAAAACCCCCAAAC
rnacentral:lncRNA from 1 species